CUGCUGCCUCCCGUAGGAGUUUGGGCCGUGUCUCAGCCCCAAUGUGGCCGUCCACCCUCUCAGGCCGGCUACUGAUCGUCGCCUUGGUGGGCCGUUACCCCGCCAACAAGCUAAUCAGACGCGGGUCCAUCUUACACCACCGGAGUUUUUCACACAAAUCCAUGCGGCUUCGUGCGCUUAUGCGGUAUUAGCACCUAUUUCUAAGUGUUAUCCCCCAGUGUAAGGCAGGUUACCCACGCGUUACUCACCCGUCCGCCACUAAGUA
rnacentral:rRNA from 1 species